UACGGGGGAGCAAGCGUUGUUCGGAUUUACUGGGCGUAAAGGGCGCGUAGGCGGCCACUGCAAGUCAGUUGUGAAAUCUCCGGGCUUAACCCGGAAAGGUCAACUGAUACUGCAGGGCUAGAGUGCAGAAGGGGCAACUGGAAUUCUCGGUGUAGCGGUGAAAUGCGUAGAUAUCGAGAGGAACACCUGCGGCGAAGGCGGGUUGCUGGGCUGACACUGACGCUGAGGCGCGAAAGCCAGGGAGCGAACGGG
rnacentral:rRNA from 1 species